rnacentral:rRNA from 1 species
AUUGAACGCUGGCGGCAGGCCUAACACAUGCAAGUCGAGCGAGCGGCGGACGGGGGAGAAAAGUAUGGGAACUGCCGGAUAGAGGGGGGUAACUACUGGAAACGGUAGCUAAUAACGCAUACUCUCGGAUAACACAUAUGGGAUUAGCUAGUAGGUGAGGUAAUGGCUCACCUGGGCGACGAUACCUAGCUGGCUGGAGAGGAUGAUCAGCCAACUUGGAACUGAGACCGGGCCCAGCCUCCGACGGAGGCAGCAGUGGGGAAGUUUGGACAAUGGGCGCAAGCCGGAUUCAGCCAUGCGGCGGGUAUGAAGAAGGCCCUAGGGUUGUAAAGUACUUUCAGGCGGGAGGCGUUACCGACAGAAGAAGCACCGGCUAACUACGUGCCAGCAGCCGCGGUAAUAC